GGAAACGCGCAUGUGCACGGCUUUCGCGCUCAAAUCCACUCAACCCCCUGUGCACCUUUAUCCUGUCGGAGCGGAGUAGCUUGAGACCUUAGUAGCCGGUAGUAGAAAGGAGGGUAACAACUCCAUUCGAAAGGCGAAAAGGCCCCUAAACCCAGCGAAAAGCUUUGGCUUGUAUUUUAUAAACCACAGUUGUUGUCCUGUGAAUGUAAUGCUCCUUGUGGGCGAAAAUAAAUACAACUUUCAACAACGGAUCUCUUGGCUCUCGCAUCGAUGAAGAACGCAGCGAAAUGCGAUAAGUAAUGUGAAUUGCAGAAUUCAGUGAAUCAUCGAAUCUUUGAACGCACCUUGCGCCCCUUGGUAUUCCGAGGGGCAUGCCUGUUUGAGUGUCAUGUUAAUCUCAAAUCACUUGUCUUUUGGGGCUUUGGGGGUUGGAACUGGAAGGUUCCGGUUGGCAAUGCCGUCCGGUCCCCUUAAAUGGAUUAACUGGGCUUCCGCUUCGGGUUUGUGGGUAAAAAUUUAUUUCUUCCCCCGAAGGGUUGGCCGGCCGGGCCGGUUCCUAUCCGCCUGUCCGGUAGAAAAGUCCGUUUGGCCUUCUUGACCUCCUUGGCCUCAAUCAGGGAGGAAUUCCCCGCUAAC
rnacentral:rRNA from 1 species